ensembl:lncRNA
GGUAACACAAGGUCUGAGAGCUGCUGGCCAAAUUUUGAAUGGGCCCAAUGUCAAGCGGAAGCUAUUUAGAACAACACAGGUCUCAGCUGUUGGCCACAGAUAAAAUAUAAAGGCAGAUGUGUCUGUGUUUAACGGGUAUAAAUACUUUUUAAAUUUCAAUACAAAAUAAAAAAAAAAGUUGAGACUAAAGUGAUUAUUUCUCCACCUCGACUACACAAGUGCUUCCGCACAUGUUGCUUUCUUCUCUGGAGCCCAAUGAAAAAUAUCGAAUCCUGGUUACCAGGAUCAAACACACAAUUAUUUGUUCUCUUCCCAUUAGGGAAACGCAAGGCUGAAAACACAACAAGGACUUUUGUCCAAUCCAGGUCAAGCAUGGGAGAGUAGAGUGUAGGUAGCACACACGGAGUACUGUUCACCGAGAGAGGGAAUAUGUUAUCUAACCCUGUUUUUUUUUUUUUUUGUUCUCUUCCAUUCCCCUUUGCGAGCAGAGCUGUCCAGUUCUGAGAGAUUCCUAUGGUCCAGGUGCGGGAAAGGCUCCUUAAUCAGCCAAAGUUGAAACAGGAUUACAUGUCACUAAAUUGGCUUACCACUCCUGGAGUUCCUAUGAGCCUUCCCAUUCCCUCAGUCACUGAACUUUCAUGGAUGCUGGAGUACUCUGAGCUCAGCAUAGUGUUGAUUUCAGGAGUUUAGCAAGUGCCCUCUCUAAUGUUUUGAAUGCACCACUACUACUCUCAUCUGGAUAAAACCACUGUUUUGCUAUAGAUCAAUGGUGAAGUUAAGGGAAUGCAUACAUUUAUAAAUAUUAUAUCAAUACCUUUUGCUGCUGAUGGGAGACAGCAGGGGUGAUUUUCAUUUUUUAACAUUAAUUGGCAAAUUGCUUAAAGCCCCCAUGAUGUGGCCGGUCACGCAGUACUCACUGGUUCGUGUAUGUUAUUCAUAGGUAUAUAAAUACAUGGUACCAACACAGUGAUGCCUGGAUGUGCAUGCACCAUGAUGUACAGCUAUUGGCUAGCAGAUAGCUCAGCUGACUUUGGAAACGCCACGCAUAACAUAGAGUACAAUCACGAUACAGGGCGAGAGCAUAGUGACUGAGACGGCUGACACCAUCACAAAAAAUAAAUAAAUAAAUCAUCAAACCUCCAGGACUUGCCCUGAGCACAUUUCAAAUCACUCGAAUGAUGGGCUCACUGUUGGUGUGUGAGGGCCCGCAGGUCUGCACUAAGUGUUUUAACACCGCG